rnacentral:rRNA from 1 species
AUUGAACGCUGGCGGCAGGCCUAACACAUGCAAGUCGAGCGGGAACUUCGGUUCUAGCGGCGGACGGGUGAGUAAUGCGUAGGAAGCUACCCGACAGAGGGGGAUACCAGUUGGAAACGACUGUUAAUACCGCAUAAUGUCUACGGACCAAAGUGUGGGACCUUCGGGCCACAUGCUGUCGGAUGCGCCUACGUGGGAUUAGCUAGUUGGUGAGGUAAUGGCUCACCAAGGCGACGAUCCCUAGCUGGGUUGAGAGGAUGAUCAGCCACACUGGAACUGAGACACGGUCCAGACUCCUACGGGAGGCAGCAGUGGGGAAUAUUGGACAAUGGGCGAAAGCCUGAUCCAGCCAUGCCGCGUGUGUGAAGAAGGCCUUCGGGUUGUAAAGCACUUUCAGUAGGGAGGAAGAGUUGAGUGUUAAUAGUACUCAGCUUUGACGUUACCUACGGAAGAAGCACCGGCUAACUCUGUGCCAGCCGCCGCGGUAAGAC